ACGUUUUUUUCAUAGAGAUUUAGAUUUAAGGUUAGAAGAAUUGUGGAAGUCGUGAGACUUCCCUUUUUUUAUCCCUUAAUUCUUGUUCUCUCAGAAUUUACCGACAAAUCUUAUAUUGCCAAGAGGAUAUAAAAAAAAGCUCUUUCAUGCGAAAGAGCUUUUUU
rnacentral:sRNA from 1 species